UCCGUAGGCGGCCAUGUGUGUCGGGUGUGAAAUCCUGCAGCUCAACUGCAGAACUGCGCCCGAAACUACGUGGCUAGAGUAUUGGAGAGGUGAGUGGAAUUCCAGGUGUAGCGGUGAAAUGCGUAGAUAUCUGGAGGAACACCAACGACGAAGGCAGCUCACUGGACAAUUACUGACGCUGAGGGACGAAAGCGUGGGGAGCGAAAG
rnacentral:rRNA from 1 species